rnacentral:rRNA from 1 species
UCCAGACUCCUACGGGAGGCAGCAGUGAGGAAUAUUGGUCAAUGGGCUUACGCCUGAACCAGCCAAGUCGCGUGAGGGAAGACUGCCCUAUGGGUUGUAAACCUCUUUUGUCAGGGAGCAACGCCGGCUACGUGUAGCCGGACUGAGAGUACCUGAAGAAAAAGCAUCGGCUAACUCCGUGCCAGCAGCCGCGGUAAUACGGAGGAUGCGAGCGUUAUCCGGAUUUAUUGGGUUUAAAGGGUGCGUAGGCGGACUGUUAGGUCAGGGGUAAAGCCCGGGGGCUCAACCCCGGCGAGCCGUUGAAACUGGCUGUCUUGAGAUGUCGAGAGGUAUGCGGAAUGCGCAGUGUAGCGGUGAAAUGCUUAGAUAUUGCGCAGAACUCCGAUUGCGAAGGCAGCAUACCGGCGGCGAUCUGACGCUGAGGCACGAAAGCGUGGGUAUCGAACAGGAUUAGAUACCCGUGUAC